CAAGUCGUAACAAGGUUUCCGUAGGUGAACCUGCGGAAGGAUCAUUAUUGAAUUGUCAACAUGAGCUGUUGCUGGUCCCUCCAAGUGGGGGGGCAUGUGCACGCUCUGUUUACAUAUCCAUUAACACCUGUGCACCCUUGGUGGUUCUGCAGUAAAGGGGGGGGGCCUGUGGUCUCCCCUCUGUGGUUCCACAUCAUUACACACACUCUGUAACAAAGUUUUGUUGAAUGCCCUUUGCGUUUAACGCAAUACAGUACAACUUUCAGCAACGGAUCUCUUGGCUCUCGCAUCGAUGAAGAACGCAGCGAAAUGCGAUAAGUAAUGUGAAUUGCAGAAUUCAGUGAAUCAUCGAAUCUUUGAACGCACCUUGCGCCCCUUGGCUAUUCCGAGGGGCAUGCCUGUUUGAGUAUCAUGAAUACCUCAACUCUCAUGCUUUGCCAUGAUGAGCUUGGAAUUUUGGGGGUUUUGCUGGCCUGUGGUCAGCUCCUCUCAAAUGAAUCAGCUUGCCAGUGUUUGGUGACAUCAUGGGUGUGAUAAAUAUCUACAUCUGUGGUUGCCUGCCAGAUGACAUCCAGCAAUGGAGGUUCACUGGGGCUUAUAAGUGUCUCUCCUCAGCGAGGACAGCAUUUUGAAGUUUGAUCUCAAAUCAGGUAGGACUACCCGCUGAACUUAA
rnacentral:sRNA from 1 species